rnacentral:rRNA from 1 species
UACGUAGGGGGCAAGCGUUGUCCGGAAUCAUUGGGCAUAAAGAGCGUGUAGGCGGCUCGAUAAGUCUGCUGUGAAAGUCCAGGGCUCAACCCUGGAAGGCCGGUGGAAACUGUCGGGCUAGAGUCCGGAAGAGGCGAGUGGAAUUCCCGGUGUAGCGGUGAAAUGCGCAGAUAUCGGGAGGAACACCAAUGGCGAAGGCAGCUCGCUGGGACGGUACUGACGCUGAGACGCGAAAGCGUGGGGAGCAAACAGG